ACGAACGCUGGCGGCGUGCUUAACACAUGCAAGUCGAACGGAAAGGCCCUGCUUUUGUGGGGUGCUCGAGUGGCGAACGGGUGAGUAACACGUGAGUAACCUGCCCUUGACUUUGGGAUAACUUCAGGAAACUGGGGCUAAUACCGGAUAGGAGCUCCUGCUGCAUGGUGGGGGUUGGAAAGUUUCGGCGGUUGGGGAUGGACUCGCGGCUUAUCAGCUUGUUGGUGGGGUAGUGGCUUACCAAGGCUUUGACGGGUAGCCGGCCUGAGAGGGUCACCGGCCACAUUGGGACUGAGAUACGGCCCAGACUCCUACGGGAGGCAGCAGUGGGGAAUAUUGCACAAUGGGCGGAAGCCUGAUGCAGCAACGCCGCGUGCGGGAUGACGGCCUUCGGGUUGUAAACCGCUUUCGCCUGUGACGAAGCGUGAGUGACGGUAAUGGGUAAAGAAGCACCGGCUAACUACGUG
rnacentral:rRNA from 1 species